AACGGUCUAUACCUGCGGUACCUGCGGAAGGAUCAUUACUGAAUUGAUUUUGGGGAUGUUGCUGGUCUCUUGAGGCAAUGGUGCACUCCCUCAAACAUUUCACAAUUUCCAUCUCACCCAUGUGCACAUCCUGUAGGUGGUCUCCCAACCCCCCCCCCACCUUUCCUUGGGGGAGUGUGUGGGUCUGGUCUCCUAUGUAUUUUUCCUUGCCAACAUCACGCGUUUUGACUGAAUGAAUCC
rnacentral:misc_RNA from 1 species